UCCAGGAAGGCAUCAAGCGACUCACCUGC
rnacentral:piRNA from 1 species